AAGUCGUAACAAGGUUUCCGUAGGUGAACCUGCGGAAGGAUCAUUAAUGAAACUUCAAAGUCGGCUCGUCUAUCUGUGCUGGUGGAGACACAUGUGCACGUUGGCGAGUCGCAAAUCCACACACCUGUGCAUCUAUGACUCUGAGUACCGCUUUGCAUGGCCUUCAGGGGCCUGGUACUCGAGUACUUUACACACUCUGAAUGUAAUGGAAUGUCUUUUUGUACAAUGUACAACUAAAAACAACUUUCAACAACGGAUCUCUUGGUUCUG
rnacentral:misc_RNA from 1 species